UGCAUUUGUUUAGGGUUCGCUUUGAUGUACCCUCGCAGCGCGUGGGAUCACCGUCAUCGUACAACACAUCUCCACGCAGGAAUGUGCUCAGUAGCUUCUUCUUCAAUUUGAGUUUCGUCUUAUUAUGCGAAGAUGUACCCACGCGCUUGCGCUUCUUCUUCGUUUUUGUCUUGUUCACACUAUACUCGCCGGAUUCCGCCAGAUCCCCGUCCAAUU
rnacentral:lncRNA from 1 species